rnacentral:misc_RNA from 1 species
ACGAGUUUUUAAUUGUUAGGUUAGAGUUGAGCUGGUUAAUUCUAAUUAAUAUAUGUGCUUACUCUAAUCGAAACAAGUCCACUCAUUACUUAAACACUUGUGAACUUAUUCAUAUUACAAACAUUAUUAUUUGUUAUUGGAACGUUUGAUUAUUAAAAAGUUAAUAC